rnacentral:rRNA from 1 species
UGGCGGUAUGCGUAACACAUGCAAGUCGAACGAGAAAGAGAUCUUCGGGUCUUGAGUAAAGUGGCGAACGGGUGAGUAAGGCGUGAGCAAGCUGCCCUCAAGUAGAGGAUAACAUCUUGAAAAGGGUGCUAAUACUUUAUACGAUAGGAGGUACGCAUGUAUUUCCUAUGAAAGGAUGCUGAUUCAUUGAAAGCAUAAGCUUGAGGAUGUGCUCGCGUACCAUUAGCUAGUUGGUAGGGUAAUGGCCUACCAAGGUGAGGAUGGUUAGCCGGCCUGAGAGGGUGUACGGCCACACUGGGAUUGAGAUACGGCCCAGACUCCUACGGGAGGCAGCAGUGGGGAAUAUUGCGCAAUGGGGGAAACCCUGACGCAGCAAUACCGCGUAGACGAUGAAGGCCCUUGGGUUGUAAAGUCUUGUUAGGUGGGAAGAAGUGCUAUCAUUCGAAGAGGGCGAUAGUUUGACGGUACCACCAGAGGAAGCCCCGGCUAACUCCGUG